UACAGAGGGUGCGAGCGUUAAUCGGAAUUACUGGGCGUAAAGCGUGCGUAGACGGUUAUGUAAGUCGGAUGUGAAAGCCCCGGGCUUAACCUGGGAACUGCACUUGUGACUGCAAGGCUGGAGUACGGCAGAGGGGGAUGGAAUUCCGCGUGUAGCAGUGAAAUGCGUAGAGAUCGUAAGGAAGACCAGUGGCGAAGGCGGGUCUCUGGACAGUUCCUGACACUGAGGCACGAAGGCCAGGGGAGCAAACGGG
rnacentral:rRNA from 1 species